AUGAUGGCUUCCGCCCCCGCGCCCAACCCCCGCCUCGGCCGCGAGGCCGUGGUCCGCGCGGUGGGCGCGCUCCUCCGAUGGCUCAAGCACCACCCCUCCCCGGCGCCGGAGCCCAUCUACCUCCUCGUCACCUUGAAGACCGCCCCCGUCCGCCGGUUCGAGCACCAUCUCAGCCUCCCACUCUCCCCAUUCCCCUCCAUCUUCCUCGUCGCCGACCGCCUCCCGGACGACCUCCCCGACGACAUCGAGACGCUCCCCUCCUCCGCGCUCCGCUCCCUCCCCGCCGUCGCGCGCCGCGGCCUGGUCCUCGUCGACAGCCGGCUCAAGAUCCCCGGCAGCGGCAAGGGCGCCAAGGGCCGCGGCAGGGUCGUGCCCGUCGACCUCGCCGACCCGGCUUGGGCCGAGUCCGCGAGGGAGGCAGCGCGCCGCGUGGAGCUGCGCGUGGAGGCUGGCACGUGCCGCGCCGUGCGGGUGGGGCACGCGGCGAUGGCGCCCGCCGAGCUGGUGGAGAACGUGGUGGCCGCGGUGGAGGCGGCCGCAGCCUGCGUGCCCAGGAAGUGGAGGAACGUGCGGGCGCUGCACCUGAAGGCACCCGAGUCGAUCGCGCUGCCUCUCUACGCGGCGCCGGGCACCGGCGGCAAUGACGAUCCGAAGGACGCGAAGCGUGAGGGCGCUACUGCGGUGGAGCAGAGGAGGGUAAAGAGGAGAAGGAACGAGUAG
rnacentral:rRNA from 1 species